CACAGAGGACUGACGGGUGUCUCUUCAGAAGCUAAUAAGCAUGUCAACAAAAAAACAACAACAACCAAAAGCCUUAAUGUUCACGUGAAUCGUCGUGGCGGUCCAAAUUUUGAACUUGUAGUUUGUACAAAAAAUGCGCAGGACACGCAGCGCGGCGCAUCACUUGCGGAGAAGGCUGAGUCGAUCGAGCCGAACCUGCAGUAAUUCUCAGCGUGAGUGGUGCGGUGGCUCGCUAAUAAGCUUUGGCGCUGAAGGGGAAUGCUGAUGCCAGUGCAAUAAUAACGAGUAUUGCAUCUUGCUCACGGUCAAAGUGAACGUACGCGCUAUUUGUAGCUGCGGCCAGACGCCAUCGAGCCUCUGACCGCAAAUAAAGAGAGAUAUAACGAAAGAAACAAAGCACGAGGUAGGAGGGAGACGCGGGAGGUCGGUGGCUUGUCUGUCACUUAAAAGAAAGAGGACAUACAUGAUGAAACAGGGGACUCGUGCCGGAGGCUGAAACGCGUGAGAUCAGACGCACGGACAUCACAUGCACAUGAUUCUUACUGAUCUCUCAGAGCGUUCAAAUCCACGCAGGCUCUCGAGGAGACUUUUCUUCUCCGGAGCUCCAGGAGGUCCCUGGUGCUCAUGCCCAUACGAUGCUUUUGAAUGCAUGUCCUUCAGCUAACAAACAACAUAAAGUAUCCUAUACCACAGGAGACCCCUGGGAUUGUUUCGUGUGUGCCAGGGCACAGAACUGCAGCCACAACGCUACUGUAAAAGUCGCCCUGUUCUCCGGUGGAGCCAGUAACUUUCCCAUGAUGCCCUCAGCCCUGCCUCUUUCCACCUCGUGGGAAUGCAGCUCUUCGCCACUGUCCUUGAGUUUGCCUGCACGGAGGGGAGCUAUUUUGACACUCCCACGUUGAAACGCACUUAGCAAAGUUCUGCUUCCUCCCGUCUGUGGCUAACGUGCUCUACACACUGACAACGUGCGCCAUUUCCCCCCCUUCCCACAACGGCCCGACGUGCGACGCAGGACUGCCGGCAAAGAUGUUCUGGAAAGCAAGUCAGGUUUCUCGGCUCGCGGCUGGAUGUAACCAGCGGGUGUCUCGGAAGGUUCAGAGCGGCAGCACCGGGUGCGGAUAGCCCGACUCUGUUUCAGAGAGGCGCCGGGCCGGAGCGAGCCAGCGAGUGUUUGUGAAAUUAAAAAGCACUGAUGCAAAAAUGCCGCGCGAGCAGGACCAGGCGACCGAGGGGCAUUUACUCAGUGCUAAGCACCAGUGCUGCCCAAGUAAACUAGGGGAAAACUUUCUCCAUGAGGACCAGGCUGGGAGAGAGAGAGGGCCUAUAUAUACCGCCUUAUAUGGAGAUGUUACAUUAGAAGGGGUUUAAAAAAGUGGAGGGAGAAUGGAUCGAAUGGAAGGAGAGAGAGAGAGAGAGAGAGAGUGUCAAGAGCCUUUUCUCUCGCCUUGUCUCCAGGAUGACUCAAAAGAUGUCUCUGAAUAGUUUUACUGUCAAGAAGUCUAAUAUGCUUUUUUUCCCCCAUUAAUUUGCAUGUCAGUAACUGCCAGGAUAUCCAAAAGAAGUUUAUGAGAAAAAAGACAUAUAAUUUAAUGUUCAUUAAGAAUUUAUUAACAGCUGCUAAAUGAAACCAUAUCAAAAUCAGAAUCUGAGGAGCGUGCACGACUCUCAGAUUAAUUAAAAAAGUAAAGGUAAACUAGAGAAACAAAUUUUCUCUGCUGGACCUAAUUUAACCAGUGAAUAAAUUAUUCAGAUGUAACUUUCAUUAGGCAGCACGCACGAUGAGAAAUCACUGAACCUUAAAAUCUUUUCUGUCUGGCCAUUUCUGGUCCCUUUUAAUGUGCUCUGCUUGUUGCUGCACAUUAUGUCAUAACAUUCAUGUAUUCAGAGCUAAGAUUUAUCUUUGCAUUUCUCUGUUUUAUCACAGAAUCAAAGAAGGCUGCCGCUGCAUUCUGGCCACGUCACAUUUUUACAGAACCCCUUCAGCCACUAUAAAUCUCUGUAUGUCUAGUUAUUAAUCUGUAAGGCCAUUUUAUCUUGGCUA